rnacentral:rRNA from 1 species
CACGUAGGGGACGAGCGUUGUCCGGAUUCAUUGGGCGUAAAGGGCGCGUAGGUGGCGGGACAAGCGUGCGGUGAAAGCCUGGGGCUCAACCCCGGGUCGGCCGUGCGAACUGUUUUGCUUGAGCACUGUAGAGGCAGGCGGAAUUCCGGGUGUAGCGGUGGAAUGCGUAGAGAUCCGGAAGAACACCGGUGGCGAAGGCGGCCUGCUGGGCAGUAGCUGACACUGAGGCGCGACAGCGUGGGGAGCAAACAGG